rnacentral:rRNA from 1 species
UACGUAGGCGGAAAAUUAAGUCAGUAGUGAAAUCCCGCAGCUUAACUGUGGAACUGUUAUUGAUACUGGUUUUCUUGAAUAUAGUUGAGGUAGGCGGAAUGUGUAAUGUAGCGGUGAAAUGCUUAGAUAUUACACAGAACACCGAUUGCGAAGGCAGCUUACUAAGCUAUGAUUGACGCUGAGGUACGAAAGCGUGGGGAGCGAACAGGAUUAGAUACCUGGUAGUCC